ACUAGGUGAUGGAACCAUUCCUCAUGCUGGUUGAGAACAUCGACAACCGCUUCCCCAGCACCAGUGCCCUGCAAAGCAUUGAUGUUUUUACACCAAGUAAAGUGCUGUCAAACCCUGCUCCAAACUUUGGUGUAAAAGAGAUGCAGGCUCUGGCAAAGCAGAUCCCCAGACUGGAGGAGUCUGUUCUACUGCAAGAGUGGGACACCUUCACAGAGGGUCAAGAUCCCAGACCUAAGGUCUAAAUCCCUGGAGGAGGUUCCUCUGGCUGGUGUCUCCUGAGGCCUCUGCCAUGUAUCCCUCCCUGAGCUUGGCAGCCGCUGUUGCCCUCACUGCACCUGUCCAGACUGCAGAUGUUGAGCGGUUGUUCUCUGCCCUCAAGCUGGUGAAAACACCACUGAGGAACCGCCUCAAGGACGACCACCUUGAUGUGUGCUGCAGGGUGGCCAUCGACGGACCAGACGCCG